rnacentral:rRNA from 1 species
GAGUUUGAUCCUGGCUCAGGACGAAGCUGGCGGCGUGCCUAACACAUGCAAGUCGAACGGAGAACUCAAAAAGCUUGCUUUGAGAGUUCUUAGUGGCGGACGGGUGAGUAACGCGUGGGCAACCUCCCCCUUAAACCGGGACAACCCUUGGAAACGAGGGCUAAUACCGGAUACACUUUUCUGAGGACAUCCUCGGGAAAGGAAAGGCGGCCUCUGAAGAUGCUGCCGAUAAGGGAUGGACCCGCGUCUGAUUAGCUGGUUGGUGGGGUAAAGGCCUACCAAGGCGACGAUCAGUAGCCGGCCUGAGAGGGUGAACGGCCACACUGGGACUGAGACACGGCCCAGACUCCUACGGGAGGCAGCAGUGGGGAAUCUUCCGCAAUGGACGAAAGUCUGACGGAGCAACGCCGCGUGUAUGACGAAGGCCUUCGGGUUGUAAAGUACUGUCUUUAGGGACGAACGGUAUCUAUGUGAACAAUGUAGGUACAUGACGGUACCUAAGGAGGAAGCCCCGGCUAACUACGUGCCAGCAGCCGCGGUAAUACGUAGGGGGCGAGCGUCGUCCGGAAUCAUUGGGCGUAAAGGGCGCGUAGGCGGAUUUUUAAGUCUGGUGUGAAAACUUGGGGCUCAACCCCAAGCCUGCAUCGGAAACUGGGAAUCUUGAGGACAGGAGAGGAAAGUGGAAUUCCACGUGUAGCGGUGAAAUGCGUAGAGAUGU